UAAGUCAGAUGUGAAAGCCCGGGGCUCAACCUCGGAACUGCAUUUGAAACUGGCAAACUAGAGUACUGUAGAGGGGGGUAGAAUUUCAGGUGUAGCGGUGAAAUGCGUAGAGAUCUGAAGGAAUACCAGUGGCGAAGGCGGCCCCCUGGACAGAUACUGACACUCAGAUGCGAAAGCGUGGGGAGCAAACAGGAUUAGAUACCCUGGUAGUCCACGCCGUAAACGAUGUCUACUUGGAGGUUGUGGCCUUGAGCCGUGGCUUUCGGAGCUAACGCGUUAAGUAGACCGCCUGGGGAGUACGGUCGCAAGAUUAAAACUCAAAUGAAUUGACGGGGGCCCGCACAAGCGGUGGAGCAUGUGGUUUAAUUCGAUGCAACGCGAAGAACCUUACCUACUCUUGACAUCCAGAGAACUUUCCAGAGAUGGAUUGGUGCCUUCGGGAACUCUGAGACAGGUGCUGCAUGGCUGUC
rnacentral:rRNA from 1 species